AGUGAACGCUGGCGGCGUGCUUAACACAUGCAAGUCGAACGAGAACGGAUUAUAGCUUGCUAUAAUUGUCAGCUAAGUGGCGCACGGGUGAGUAAUGUAUAGGUAAUAUGCCUCUUGCUAAGGGAUAACAAAUGGAAACGUUUGCUAAUACCUUAUACUCCUUAUUAACAGAAGUUAAUAAGGGAAAGAUUUAUUGGUAAGAGAUUAGCCUGUAUUGUAUCAGUUAGUUAGUGGGGUAAUGGCUUACCAAGACUAUGACACAUAACUGGUUUGAGAGGAUGAUCAGUCACACUGGAACUGAGACACGGUCCAGACUCCUACGGGAGGCAGCAGUGGGGAAUAUUGCACAAUGGACGAAAGUCUGAUGCAGCAACGCCGCGUGGAGGAUGACACAUUUCGGUGCGUAAACUCCUUUUAUAUGAGAAGAUAAUGACGGUAUUAUAUGAAUAAGCACCGGCUAACUCCGUGCCAGCAGCCGCAGUAAAAC
rnacentral:rRNA from 1 species